rnacentral:lncRNA from 1 species
GAGCUAAACCAAGUGCGCCAGAUGGUCAUAGAUGUAUCAUGUCUUGAUAAGAAUCUGGACCUCAGGCUUAUGCUUUGCUCCAGGAAGAUCUUAACAGCUCUAACUGUAAGUUGUACUGUCUCUCGCUGAAAAAUUCAAUCAACACUGCAUGAUUGUUAGACACUCAUUGAAGCAUGAAGUGUCUUGGGCUCUGCCCAAACCCAGCAGAAAAUUGUUAGUGAGAAAACUUGAGCAAGCAUCCUCCCUUUGUAUUUUCCUCCAAUGACAGAUUUAAUCUAGUCUAGCAAGUCCUUUCUCCAUUUCAAAGAAUGUCAUGAUGGAAAAUAGGAAAUAAUCUCUAUCCUAGAACUUAGUUUGAUCACACCUGGAAGAGAAGAUAUGUAAAACAAGCACUGAGUAGGCUUGCACUAGCGAGUUAGGCUAACAAUGAUUUCAUAGUUGGUCUUUCAUAUGCAAAGUCAAGAACGAAAUUUAGAAGGUUAAAACCGUAUACCCGGAUAUUGGUCUUUCAUGCUUGAAAGAGUAAGGAUUUUCAUAGUUGGAACAAUGAUUUCCCUAAUUUUGCAUGAGAGAUUUUCAUCUAGAGUCUAGACAGCGCAAAGCUGCUAGUGAGUAAUUUAUUUCCAGCAUGAAAAUUUUAGUUUAUUAAGCAGAAGCCAAUGAUUAUUCUUGCCUGAUAAUCAUAUAUAUCAAAGCCAGAUUAUAGUUACUAAGUAUUGGGUACUUAGUAACUAAGCCAGAUUAUUCUUCUGAUAAUCAUAUAUAUCAAAGCCAAGAAACUUCAUUGUAAUAGACACAUAUUCUGUUAGAGUUAUAAUUGGAUUUUUAACUCCUGAUAGUGAUGCUGUGGAGUGACUGAUUGUACGAAUCGAUGCAGGAUGAGGAGAUGAAUAGCCUUAGAGAUCUGAUCAAUUCGGCGGUUCUAGAUUCAGAUAUGAAGGGUGGAUUAAGAUGGCCCCUGGGGGAGGCAUCUUCUGGUGGUAGAUAUAGUGUCAUUGGGG